GUGUUUUAAAAACCGGUAUAUACCGGCCGGUAUUACCGGUAAUACCGGUUGCCGGGGUGUUGGCCGGCACGAUUCAGUCCGGUAUUUUGAAGGAACAACAAACGAUUUGAACCGCCGGUAUUCAGGUAAAAACCGGUAUGUACCGUUAAACCGGUACCGUCCCACCAUUUGAUUUUCUUUAGUCGGCCCAAGACAUUGACGAUUAACCUCCGGCACUUGAUGUUUAACCAAGAGCAUCGUAUGAUCCAUUCAUCAGAGCCUUUGCGUACCAUCCAUUCAUGAUUCAUCAAAGCCUCUGUGUACCAUCGAUCAUCAGAGAGAUGGUAGAGUCGAAGAGACAGUAAGGGAGCAAGUUUGACUUUCUUUACCUUUUUUUAUAUCUCUAAUUUUACUAUAUAUUUUUUAAUUUCUGUAAUUGUAUGCAUAAGUUUAAUAAAUAUCAAUU
rnacentral:lncRNA from 1 species